rnacentral:tRNA from 1 species
GGUAAGCUCAGUGGUAGAGCGCAUGCUUAGCAUGCAUGAGGUCCUGGGUUUGGUCCCCAGUACCU